GCAAGUCGAACGAGAACGGAUUUUAGUUUACUAAAAUUGUCAGCUAAGUGGCGCACGGGUGAGUAAUAUAUAGUUAAUCUACCCCAAAGAAGAGAAUAAUUGUUGGAAACGACUUGUAAUGCUCUAUAUGCCUUUAUCACAUAAGUGAGCAAGGGAAAUAUUUAUAGCUUUGGGAUGAGACUGUACGGUAGCAGAUAGUGGGUGAGGUAAUGGCUCACAAAGUCAAUGACGCCUAACUGGUUUGAGAGGAUGAGC
rnacentral:rRNA from 1 species